rnacentral:rRNA from 1 species
AACGAACGCUGGCGGCAUGCCUAACACAUGCAAGUCGAACGAGACCUUCGGGUCUAGUGGCGCACGGGUGCGUAACGCGUGGGAACCUGCCCUUAGGUUCGGAAUAACUCCCCGAAAGGGGUGCUAAUACCGGAUAAUGUCUUCGGACCAAAGAUUUAUCGCCUUUGGAUGGGCCCGCGUUGGCUUAGCUAGUUGGUAGGGUAAAAGCCUACCAAGGCGACGAUCCAUAGCUGGUCUGAGAGGAUGAUCAGCCACACUGGGACUGAGACACGGCCCAGACUCCUACGGGAGGCAGCAGUGGGGAAUAUUGGACAAUGGGCGAAAGCCUGAUCCAGCAAUGCCGCGUGAGUGAUGAAGGCCUUAGGGUUGUAAAGCUCUUUUACCCGGGAUGAUAAUGACAGUACCGGGAGAAUAAGCUCCGGCUAACUCCGUGC